AGUGAACGCUGGCGGUAGGCCUAACACAUGCAAGUCGAACGGCAGCACAGUAAGAGCUUGCUCUUACGGGUGGCGAGUGGCGGACGGGUGAGGAAUACAUCGGAAUCUACUUUUUCGUGGGGGAUAACGUAGGGAAACUUACGCUAAUACCGCAUACGACCUACGGGUGAAAGCAGGGGAUCUUCGGACCUUGCGCGAUUGAAUGAGCCGAUGUCGGAUUAGCUAGUUGGCGGGGUAAAGGCCCACCAAGGCGACGAUCCGUAGCUGGUCUGAGAGGAUGAUCAGCCACACUGGAACUGAGACACGGUCCAGACUCCUACGGGAGGCAGAAGUGGGGAAUAUUAGACAAUGGGCGCAAGCCUGAUCCAGCCAUACCGCGUGGGUGAAGAAGGCGUUCGGGUUGUAAAGCCCUUUUGUUGGGAAAGAAAAGCAGCAGGUUAAUACCCCGCUGUUCUGACGGUACCCAAAGAAUAAGCACCGGCUAACUUCGUG
rnacentral:rRNA from 1 species